GAUGAAGAACGUAGCGAAAUGCGAUAAGUAAUGUGGAUUGCAGAAUUCAGUGAAUCAUCGAAUCUUUGAACGCACAUUGCGCCCCUUGGUAUUCCGAGGGGCAUGCCUGUUCGAGCGUCAUUAUAACCCCUCAAGCUCAGCUUGGUGUUGGGGCCUGCUGCACUGGCAGCCCUUAAAAUCAGUGGCGGCGCCAUCUGGCUCUAAGCGUAGUAAUUCUUCUCGCUAUGGAGUCCUGGUGGAUGCUUGCCAUCAACCCCCAAUUUUUCUAUGGUUGACCUCGGAUCAGGUAGGGAUACCCGCUGAACUUAAGCAUAUCAAUAAGCGGAGGA
rnacentral:misc_RNA from 1 species